CUACUAUACAGUCUCAAAGGCAUCGUAACCAAUCUGGCGAACUUCAAUUUCAAAUGUAACGUGCUAUAUUUGACCCUGUAACUUCCCAAAACGCCAUAAAACCUGUACAUAGGGGGUACUGUCUUACAUGUGAGACUUUGCUGAAUACAAAUAUGUGUAUUUUAUUGCAGUAAAAGCAAACAGUAUUAUGACAUUGACAGUUAAAAUGUCAUGUAGAACUAAAAAAAUAAAAAAAAAUCUUAUUUUCUCCCAUUUUUUUCAUAUUAAAUUAUGUUUCAUAGCUAAAUAUUUGAUAUUAAAUGAAAGCCCUGUUUCCC